AUGGGCAAGGACAAUAUUGCUAAUUUACUAACCUCUAUAAGAAACACCGACAUGGAUAAAAAAGGAACAAUUUCAGUAGUGUCUACAAAUAUUACCAAAAAUAUUGUUAAAAUACUUCUACGAGAGGGUUUUAUUGAAAGUGUUCAAAAACAUGAGGAACCUAACCGAUAUUUCUUGGUUUCAACUUUGCGACAUCAAAAGAGAAUGACUAGAAAACGAUUGUAUAGAAGACAAACCUUUUUUAAGUGUAUCGGCCGACCAAACUUCCGAAUUUAUACCAACUGUCAAGGAAUUCCUAAAGUUUUGGGUGGAAUGGAGCCGCUAUUCUUUCUACUUUUUGAGGGAUAA
rnacentral:rRNA from 1 species